AACGAACGCUGGCGGCAUGCCUAACACAUGCAAGUCGAACGAUGCCUUCGGGCAUAGUGGCGCACGGGUGCGUAACGCGUGGGAAUCUGCCCUUGGCUUCGGAAUAACAGUUAGAAAUGACUGCUAAUACCGGAUGAUGUCCCCCUGAGAGAUCUUGGGGACCAAAGAUUUAUCGGCCAGGGAUGAGCCCGCGUAGGAUUAGGUAGUUGGUGGGGUAAAGGCCUACCAAGCCGACGACCCUUAGCUGGUCUGAGAGGAUGAUCAGCCACACUGGGACUGAGACACGGCCCAGACUCCUACGGGAGGCAGCAGUGGGGAAUAUUGGACAAUGGGGGGAACCCUGAUCCAGCAAUGCCGCGUGAGUGAUGAAGGCCUUAGGGUUGUAAAGCUCUUUUACCAGGGAUGAUAAUGACAGUACCUGGAGAAUAAGCUCCGGCUAACUCCGUG
rnacentral:rRNA from 1 species